CCUACGGGAGGCAGCAGUGAGGAAUAUUGGUCAAUGGACGAGAGUCUGAACCAGCCAAGUAGCGUGAAGGAUGACUGCCCUAUGGGUUGUAAACUUCUUUUAUAUGGGAAUAAAAUGUUCCACGUGUGGGUUUUUGUAUGUACCAUAUGAAUAAGGAUCGGCUAACUCCGUGCCAGCAGCCGCGGUAAUACGGAGGAUCCGAGCGUUAUCCGGAUUUAUUGGGUUUAAAGGGAGCGUAGGUGGAUUGUUAAGUCAGUUGUGAAAGUUUGCGGCUCAACCGUAAAAUUGCAGUUGAUACUGGCAGUCUUGAGUACAGUAGAGGUAGGCGGAAUUCGUGGUGUAGCGGUGAAAUGCUUAGAUAUCACGAAGAACUCCGAUUGCGAAGGUAGCUCACUAAACUGCAACUGACACUGAUGCUCGAAAGUGUGGGUAUCAAACAGGAUUAGAUACCCGAGUAGUC
rnacentral:rRNA from 1 species